UACGUAGGCUCUCGUUUGUGUUGUCCUUGUAAAGUGUUUGAUGAAUUCCUUGCCUGUCAAAAUCAUAUCCUUGGAACCUGAAGGUAGCUUGUGCCCCAUAUCCCUCUUGGCUCUCCAAAUUCAUGGCAGCCACAUCUGUUAUCUUCGAGAAAUCUAGUAUGAUUUCAUCUGCCAUUUUAUUGGCUUUUCCGUUAAUCGGCAGCUGUGUAAAGGUACAACUACAUGUUCAACAAUUAGGAAAAUAGUACCACAAAUAACUGAAUGUUGGGAUGGGUAAAUAGAUUUUGUCUUGCGUGAAUACAUAGAAAUACAUGGAAGUAUAUUUAGAGGUCAAAAAGUACUAGUCUGUAGCUUUGUGGAAAAAGAUGCAAAAUAGUGAACCAGUUUAUUUUUACUGUUUGUGUUUAUAUUUAAGUUUCUAUUGCCCAAUGCAUGGUUUGGAAAGGAAUGAAUUACUGGUGUAACACGAGUAAUUGUCGACGUACACUGAGUUCCUAAGUCCCACAGUAAGACGUGAUUAGCUAUAUAUCUCCAUGCAUAGAUGUUUCUAGAACAAUUACUUUUGUUCUCUGUAGCUUCCCUAAAAAAGUUUAUUCCUUGUAGCUCAAUCAAAUUUCAUUUACAUUGCAUUGUUUUUCAUCUCUUUUACAACUAGUCUUGUCAUUUCUUAGGGAGUGUCAAGCAAUAUUAGAAGCGGUCCGAGCUAUUAAAAUGAUCAUGACACUGAUGAUGAGGAGGAUGACAUCUAUGGCAACGAGGGAGAUGAUAGCUGUGGCGAUAAGCAUUAUGAUAAAGUAAAGAUCUGAAGUUUGUUGAAAAUUUAGCUUAUGCAAAUUGUCUGGACCUCUCUAAUACUAUUUUUUGAUUCGACACUUCCUAGAUGGAUUGUUAUUGUAAAUGUAAUUCAUAUGCAACUCAUUAGGUUUGUAAUACCUAGAUUAUGCUAAAUGUUCUUUUGGUCAUGUGCGGUUGUGUAAUUAUGAGAUGUAUCGGAAAUGCCAAUAUUGUGAAAUAUUGUGUAAUAUAUUGCACUUCCCUCUCAGUGAAAUUAAUCAGUGAGGGUUGACUAAUGGCCUAUGG
rnacentral:lncRNA from 1 species